UACGGGGGGGGGCAAGCGUUGUUCGGAAUUACUGGGCGUAAAGGGCUCGUAGGCGGCCCUCUCAGUCGGAUGUGAAAUCCCCAGGCUCAACUUGGGAACGGCAUCCGAUACUGGAGGGCUUGAAUUCGGGAGAGGGAUGCAGAAUUCCAGGUGUAGCGGUGAAAUGCGUAGAUAUCUGGAGGAAUACCGGUGGCGAAGGCGGCAUCCUGGACCGAGAUUGACGCUGAGGAGCGAAAGCUAGGGGAGCAAACGGG
rnacentral:rRNA from 1 species